GUGCAGCAGGCGCGAAACUUUUGCAAUGCGCGUAAGCGUGACAAAGUCAUCCCGAGUGCCACCCGCUGAGGGUGGCUUUUCCACAGUCUAAAAAGCUGUGGGAAUAAGGGGAGGGUAAGUCGGGUGUCAGCCGCCGCGGUAAUACCAGCUCUCCGAGUGGUAGGGAUGAUUAUUGGGCUUAAAGCGUCCGUAGCCGGCUCAGCAAGUCUCCCGUUAAAUCCAACGAUUCAAUCGUUGGACUGCGGGAGAUACUGUUCGGCUAGGGGGCGGGAGAGGCCGACGGUAUCCUCGGGGUAGGGGUGAAAUCCUAUAAUCCCGGGAAGACCACCAGUGGCGAAGGCUGUCGGCUAGAACGCGCCCGACGGUGAGGGAUGAAAGCUGGGGGAGCGAACCGGAUUAGAUACCCGCGUAGUCC
rnacentral:rRNA from 1 species